rnacentral:lncRNA from 1 species
CGUCCACAAUAUGUGGGGCCUACCUAGACUUUUAUUGUAAUUAACAUAUAGCUAGCAAUCGCACUAGGUACAGAUAAAUAUACUAUCAAAAAUAUUUCGAAGAAAUAGUUCAUCUUUGAUAUAUGUGGAGGGCUUAAAUUGCCAUUUCGAAAUAUAUCGAUAUUUCGGGGAAAAGCGAUUUGCCAUAUUUCCGAGUCCAUCCUUUUCAUCUUUUUUAUAUAGAUAUUAUAAGCUGUUAUGUAUUUACAAAUGACAUUUAUCUACGGACAAUCAUACAAAGAACACAUAUUGCAAAAGAAUACCGGAGAUCUUCCCCAAUUAACAUAAAACUUUUCUAGACUAUAAAUUUCAAUAACAUUUGACUCACAUUUAUACGAGGAAUAGUUACUGUUAA